rnacentral:rRNA from 1 species
CCUGGCUAGGACGAACGCUGGCGGCGAUGCCUAACACAUGCAAGUCGAACGGAGCCAACCGGACAAUCCUCGGGUGCGACUGGGAAGCUUAGUGGCGGACGGGUGAGUAACGCGUGAGUAACCUGCCUUCAAGAGGGGAAUAACACAUCGAAAGGUGUGCUAAUACCGCAUAACGCAUAUUUGCCGCAUGACAGAUAUGCCAAAGAUUUAUCGCUUGAAGAUGGACUCGCGUCUGAUUAGCUAGUUGGUGAGGUAACGGCUCACCAAGGCGACGAUCAGUAGCCGAACUGAGAGGUUGAUCGGCCACAUUGGGACUGAGACACGGCCCAGACUCCUACGGGAGGCAGCAGUGGGGGAUAUUGCGCAAUGGGGGCAACCCUGACGCCAGCAAUGCCGCGUGAAGGAUGAAGGUCUUCGGAUCGUAAACUUUUGUCUUAUGGGAAGAAUAAUGACGGUACCAUAGGAGGAAGCCACGGCUAACUACGUGCCAGCAGCCGC